GCAGGUUAAGUGGCUGCUUCUUUCUCAACCGGUGAUGAGGACUUUUCGCUGGGAUCUCUGCUGGGGUAUCUUAGCUCUCCACAUGCUCUCUCAUCUCUACAUGGCCUCUCUACAUGGUGGUUCACCCUGUAGGCUUUACUCUACCUGGUCCUCUCUGCAGUAGAACAGCUAAGCUUCCCUCGCAUCACAGAAUUACUGGAGCAGCUGGUCCGAAUGUCACCAUACCCUCGUCUGUUCAAUGAGAGUCCAAGUGCCUCCUUGAGAACUAUGAAAACAGCAGCUGAGAACAAGAAGAAGUAACGGCUCAAUGUUUUACAUCAUUAGCUCAGAGUGCAGCAAUUGCAACCCCUUGGGUAAAAACGUCUGAAGACAUUUAGAAGAAUUUAUCAUUACAGUCCAAGAGGGAAGAAGAUUGGCCUGUCCAUGUG
rnacentral:lncRNA from 1 species